UACAGAGGGUGCAAGCGUUAAUCGGAAUUACUGGGCGUAAAGGGCGCGUAGGUGGGGAAGUAAGUUAGAUGUGAAAUACCUGGGCUUAACCUGGGAAUUGCAUAUAAUACUGUUUUUCUAGAGUAUGGUAGAGGGUAGUGGAAUUUCCGGUGUAGCGGUGAAAUGCGUAGAUAUCGGAAGGAACAUCAAUGGCGAAGGCAGCUACCUGGACUGAUACUGACACUGAGGCGCGAAAGCGUGGGUAGCAAACAGG
rnacentral:rRNA from 1 species